ACCGGCAGUCAUAUCACCCUGUAGCCCAAGACUGGUUGCCCACUGAAGCUAAGCAGGGCUGAGCCUGGUCAGUACCUGGAUGGGAGACCUCCUGGGAAAACUAGGUUGCUGCUGGAA
rnacentral:rRNA from 1 species